rnacentral:rRNA from 1 species
UACGGAGGGUGCGAGCGUUGUCCGGAAUUAUUGGGCGUAAAGAGCUCGUAGGCGGUUUGUCGCGUCUGCUGUGAAAACUCGGGGCUUAACUCCGGGCCUGCAGUGGGUACGGGCAGACUAGAGUGCGGUAGGGGAGACUGGAAUUCCUGGUGUAGCGGUGAAAUGCGCAGAUAUCAGGAGGAACACCGGUGGCGAAGGCGGUUCUCUGGGCCUUAACUGACGCUGAGGAGCGAAAGCGUGGGGAGCGAACAGG